GUAAAUGAGAGACUGGCCAACUUUUGCCUGUUUCUUGGUUGGAACAGAGGACAUUCACGGUCGAGGUAUCGUUUCGGCUGCCCUUGCAUUUUGUUUGAUUGGCAUUCCGAUUGUUGCUCGACUACAU